rnacentral:rRNA from 1 species
GGUUAAGCGACUAAGCGUACACGGUGGAUGCCCUGGCAGUCAGAGGCGAUGAAGGACGUGCUAAUCUGCGAUAAGCGUCGGUAAGGUGAUAUGAACCGUUAUAACCGGCGAUUUCCGAAUGGGGAAACCCAGUGUGAUUCGUCACACUAUCAUUAACUGAAUCCAUAGGUUAAUGAGGCGAACCGGGGGAACUGAAACAUCUAAGUACCCCGAGGAAAAGAAAUCAACCGAGAUUCCCCCAGUAGCGGCGAGCGAACGGGGAGCAGCCCAGAGCCUGAAUCAGUGUGUGUGUUAGUGGAAGCGUCUGGAAAGGCGUGCGAUACAGGGUGACAGCCCCGUACACAAAAAUGCACAUACUGUGAGCUCGAUGAGUAGGGCGGGACACGUGGUAUCCUGUCUGAAUAUGGGGGGACCAUCCUCCAAGGCUAAAUACUCCUGACUGACCGAUAGUGAACCAGUACCGUGAGGGAAAGGCGAAAAGAACCCCGGCGAGGGGAGUGAAAAAGAACCUGAAACCGUGUACGUACAAGCAGUGGGAGCACAGAGCAAUCUGUGUGACUGCGUACCUUUUGUAUAAUGGGUCAGCGACUUAUAUUCUGUAGCAAGGUUAACCGAAUAGGGGAGCCGAAGGGAAACCGAGUCUUAACUGGGCGUUAAGUUGCAGGGUAUAGACCCGAAACCCGGUGAUCUAGCCAUGGGCAGGUUGAAGGUUGGGUAACACUAACUGGAGGACCGAACCGACUAAUGUUGAAAAAUUAGCGGAUGACUUGUGGCUGGGGGUGAAAGGCCAAUCAAACCGGGAGAUAGCUGGUUCUCCCCGAAAGCUAUUUAGGUAGCGCCUCGUGAAUUCAUCUCCGGGGGUAGAGCACUGUUUCGGCAAGGGGGUCAUCCCGACUUACCAACCCGAUGCAAACUGCGAAUACCGGAGAAUGUUAUCACGGGAGACACACGGCGGGUGCUAACGUCCGUCGUGAAGAGGGAAACAACCCAGACCGCCAGCUAAGGUCCCAAAGUCAUGGUUAAGUGGGAAACGAUGUGGGAAGGCCCAGACAGCCAGGAUGUUGGCUUAGAAGCAGCCAUCAUUUAAAGAAAGCGUAAUAGCUCACUGGUCGAGUCGGCCUGCGCGGAAGAUGUAACGGGGCUAAACCAUGCACCGAAGCUGCGGCAGCGACGCUUAUGCGUUGUUGGGUAGGGGAGCGUUCUGUAAGCCUGUGAAGGUGUACUGUGAGGUAUGCUGGAGGUAUCAGAAGUGCGAAUGCUGACAUAAGUAACGAUAAAGCGGGUGAAAAGCCCGCUCGCCGGAAGACCAAGGGUUCCUGUCCAACGUUAAUCGGGGCAGGGUGAGUCGACCCCUAAGGCGAGGCCGAAAGGCGUAGUCGAUGGGAAACAGGUUAAUAUUCCUGUACUUGGUGUUACUGCGAAGGGGGGACGGAGAAGGCUAUGUUGGCCGGGCGACGGUUGUCCCGGUUUAAGCGUGUAGGCUGGUUUUCCAGGCAAAUCCGGAAAAUCAAGGCUGAGGCGUGAUGACGAGGCACUACGGUGCUGAAGCAACAAAUGCCCUGCUUCCAGGAAAAGCCUCUAAGCAUCAGGUAACAUCAAAUCGUACCCCAAACCGACACAGGUGGUCAGGUAGAGAAUACCAAGGCGCUUGAGAGAACUCGGGUGAAGGAACUAGGCAAAAUGGUGCCGUAACUUCGGGAGAAGGCACGCUGAUAUGUAGGUGAAGUCCCUCGCGGAUGGAGCUGAAAUCAGUCGAAGAUACCAGCUGGCUGCAACUGUUUAUUAAAAACACAGCACUGUGCAAACACGAAAGUGGACGUAUACGGUGUGACGCCUGCCCGGUGCCGGAAGGUUAAUUGAUGGGGUUAGCGCAAGCGAAGCUCUUGAUCGAAGCCCCGGUAAACGGCGGCCGUAACUAUAACGGUCCUAAGGUAGCGAAAUUCCUUGUCGGGUAAGUUCCGACCUGCACGAAUGGCGUAAUGAUGGCCAGGCUGUCUCCACCCGAGACUCAGUGAAAUUGAACUCGCUGUGAAGAUGCAGUGUACCCGCGGCAAGACGGAAAGACCCCGUGAACCUUUACUAUAGCUUGACACUGAACAUUGAGCCUUGAUGUGUAGGAUAGGUGGGAGGCUUUGAAGUGUGGACGCCAGUCUGCAUGGAGCCGACCUUGAAAUACCACCCUUUAAUGUUUGAUGUUCUAACGUUGACCCGUAAUCCGGGUUGCGGACAGUGUCUGGUGGGUAGUUUGACUGGGGCGGUCUCCUCCUAAAGAGUAACGGAGGAGCACGAAGGUUGGCUAAUCCUGGUCGGACAUCAGGAGGUUAGUGCAAUGGCAUAAGCCAGCUUGACUGCGAGCGUGACGGCGCGAGCAGGUGCGAAAGCAGGUCAUAGUGAUCCGGUGGUUCUGAAUGGAAGGGCCAUCGCUCAACGGAUAAAAGGUACUCCGGGGAUAACAGGCUGAUACCGCCCAAGAGUUCAUAUCGACGGCGGUGUUUGGCACCUCGAUGUCGGCUCAUCACAUCCUGGGGCUGAAGUAGGUCCCAAGGGUAUGGCUGUUCGCCAUUUAAAGUGGUACGCGAGCUGGGUUUAGAACGUCGUGAGACAGUUCGGUCCCUAUCUGCCGUGGGCGCUGGAGAACUGAGGGGGGCUGCUCCUAGUACGAGAGGACCGGAGUGGACGCAUCACUGGUGUUCGGGUUGUCAUGCCAAUGGCACUGCCCGGUAGCUAAAUGCGGAAGAGAUAAGUGCUGAAAGCAUCUAAGCACGAAACUUGCCCCGAGAUGAGUUCUCCCUGAGACUUUAAGUCUCCUGAAGGAACGUUGAAGACGACGACGUUGAUAGGCCGGGUGUGUAAGCGCAGCGAUGCGUUGAGCUAACCGGUACUAAUGAACCGUGAGGCUUAACCUU